AUUGAACGCUGGCGGCAGGCCUAACACAUGCAAGUCGCACGAGUGGCGGACGGGUGAGUAAUGUCUGGGAGACUGCGCGAUGGAGGUGGAUAAAAACUGGAAACGGGAGCUAAUAACGCAUAACAUCGGAUGUGACCAGAUGGGAUUGGCUAGUAGGGGGGGUAACGGCGCACCAAGGCGACGAUCCCUAGCUGGGCUGAGAGGAUGACCAGCCACACUGGAACUGAGACACGGUCCAGACUCCUACGGGAGGCAGCAGUGGGUAAUAUUGCACAAUGGGCGCAAGCCUGAUGCAGCCAUGCCGCGUGUAUGAAGAAGGCCUUCGGGUUGUAAAGUACUUUCAGCGAGGAGGCGUUACUCGCAGAAGAAGCACCGGCUAACUCCGUGCCAGCAGCCGCGGGAAUAC
rnacentral:rRNA from 1 species